ensembl:lncRNA
GUGGAGAGGGAGGUGACUGAUGGCAUAGGAGGAGAGAGGGAGGUGACUGAUGGAGGAGGUGGAGAGGGAGGUGACUGAUGGAGGAGGUGGAGAGGGAGGUGACUGAUGGCAUAGGAGGAGAGAGGGAGGUGACAGAGGGAUGCUUUGAUUUAUUUUGAUUUAUAGAUGUUUAUUAUUUAUUUUUCUAUUUAAUUUUAAUAUUGCAGUGUGCUAAAAGGGAGCGGGCAAGACAAUGCUGUUCAAUAUUAGAUGUUCAUGACUUUUUGAUAUUUUGAGUAAGUUAAACUCAAUGUAAUUGAGGUAAUCAAUUGCCUCAAAAAUUUUAAGUUUCGAGUCACAUCUUAUUAAGUAAACAACUUCAACAUAUUUGACUACUGUGUACUUAAAACAAUGACAACACAAACUAAUAAACUUUGAGUUGUGUUAACAUAAAAUGGUGUGGUUGUGUACUUAUUCUUUUAAGUUCUGUGAACUUAUUCCAGUGGUUUCAAAACUGGAAAUUUUAAGUCUUAAUAACUGAAAAUAAUUGAGUUGCCUUAACAGAAAACUGUAAGUCAUAUUGACUGCAAAUAUUUGAGUUGAGCUAAAUGAGCACUUUAAUUUAACUGUUAUCAAAAGGUACAAGUAGCAAGUAAUCCAACCUUUUAAGUUCUGGAAAAUUUUGACUUUUAAGUUAAUCAACUUAAAAAAAUUG